AUUGAACGCUGGCGGCAUGCCUUACACAUGCAAGUCGAACGGCAGCACGGGUGCUUGCACCUGGUGGCGAGUGGCGAACGGGUGAGUAAUACAUCGGAACAUGUCCUGUAGUGGGGGAUAGCCCGGCGAAAGCCGGAUUAAUACCGCAUACGAUCUACGGAUGAAGGCGGGGGACCUUCGGGCCUCGCGCUAUAGGGUUGGCCGAUGGCUGAUUAGCUAGUUGGUGGGGUAAAGGCCUACCAAGGCGACGAUCAGUAGCUGGUCUGAGAGGACGACCAGCCACACUGGGACUGAGACACGGCCCAGACUCCUACGGGAGGCAGCAGUGGGGAAUUUUGGACAAAGGGCGAAAGCCUGAUCCAGCAAUGCCGCGUGUGUGAAGAAGGCCUUCGGGUUGUAAAGCACUUUUGUCCGGAAAGAAAUCCUUGGCCCUAAUACGGUCGGGGGAUGACGGUACCGGAAGAAUAAGCACCGGCUAACUACGUG
rnacentral:rRNA from 1 species